GGCCUAACACAUGCAAGUCGAGCGGUAACAGGGGUAGCUUGCUACCCGCUGACAAGCGGCGGACGGGUGAGUAAUGCAUAGGAAUCUGCCCGGUAGUGGGGGAUAACCUGGGGAAACCCAGGCUAAUACCGCAUACGUCCUACGGGAGAAAGGGGGCUCCGGCUCCCGCUAUUGGAUGAGCCUAUGUCGGAUUAGCUAGUUGGUGAGGUAAUGGCUCACCAAGGCGACGAUCCGUAGCUGGUCUGAGAGGAUGAUCAGCCACAUCGGGACUGAGACACGGCCCGAACUCCUACGGGAGGCAGCAGUGGGGAAUAUUGGACAAUGGGCGAAAGCCUGAUCCAGCCAUGCCGCGUGUGUGAAGAAGGCCCUCGGGUUGUAAAGCACUUUCAGCGAGGAAGAACGCCUAGUGGUUAAUACCCACUAGGAAAGACAUCACUCGCAGAAGAAGCACCGGCUAACUCCGUGCCAGCAGCCGCGGUAAUACGGAGGGUGCAAGCGUUAAUCGGAAUUACUGGGCGUAAAGCGCGCGUAGGUGGCUUGAUAAGCCGGUUGUGAAAGCCCCGGGCUCAACCUGGGAACGGCAUCCGGAACUGUCAAGCUAGAGUGCAGGAGAGGAAGGUAGAAUUCCCGGUGUAGCGGUGAAAUGCGUAGAGAUCGGGAGGAAUACCAGUGGCGAAGGCGGCCUUCUGGACUGACACUGACACUGAGGUGCGAAAGCGUGGGUAGCAAACAGGAUUAGAUACCCUGGUAGUCCACGCCGUAAACGAUGUCGACCAGCCGUUGGGUGCCUAGCGCACUUUGUGGCGAAGUUAACGCGAUAAGUCGACCGCCUGGGGAGUACGGCCGCAAGGUUAAAACUCAA
rnacentral:rRNA from 1 species